CUACAAGUGUGUAUGAGGGGUACACACAUUUGUGGCACUGUCCACCCUUGGGAAUAUGGACCUGUGGAAGUGGCCUGUGAAGGGCAGGAAAUUCCAGUGUCCCAAGUACCCAGAGUGUCAUCUACAAGGGAGGCAAUAGGCUCCUGGAGGGCAUGUCUCUUCACCUGUGGACUUGUCACCCUUGAGGAGGGGAUAAGAGGGAAGAGGGGUGGACUACAGGGGUCUCUAAACUGUGGAGCCAAGGGCAGAGGCCCUGGUUACCCAGGACCAUGGUGGUGUGUAUAUAUGCCCUAUAGAUUUACCCUAUACCCAUUACUGGGUUUCACUGACUUCCUGUUCCUGGACAUGUUCCUAUCAGAAGAUGCCCAGGGCAGAAAUGCAACCACAAGUGGAAUUGCAGACCUGGGACCUUCUCUUUAGUCUUAACACCUUUCUGAUUCCAGCCAAGAAUGUGUCGUGAUUCCAAAACACUCAACAACGAUGUGUUAGAUCUAUUCUUGUAUCUGCAUUGAUUCACAAUGAAUAAAAAUUAAGUUGGUACUAAAUUUUAUGGACUCAUUUAAAAAAAAUUCCUCCUUUUUGAGCAUUAACUAGAUAGUGCCUGUGGAAGCAGAAGACAAUUUUAAUUAGCAUAUUAUCACAGCAAAGAGGAACCCUGAUAAUUGCACGCCAGCCUCAAGUUGCAGCCUUCUCUCACCUGGCAAUACACUGCCAAGGACUUGUCUCUGUACACCCUACCCAUCCUUUAGCACUCCCAAGACUUAUUUUUAUUACAAAGUCAUCUCCAGUCGCAGUACCCCUAUCUUUUGCUUGUCUGUGCUUCUACAUAUGUGCCAACAGGACCUUCCCACCCUGCCCAUCCCAGGUUGCUUGUGUUAGUAAUGAACUUCCAUGCCUACGCCUUGCCUUCCUAUUAUAUUCUCCUGGGAGGCAGGGAUAACAUCUCAAGGGAGUUCUUUCUAAUAACUUUGCCUAUAUUCUAAUGGGUUCGCAGGUAGAAAUGAAAGAGAGAAGUGAGAGAGUAUAAGCACUAAGUCGCAGUUCCUUAUGUAGCUCAUGCGCUGUAGAGGAAGACAGAGCUGUUUUCUAGGGUGAUGGUUUUCACGCUUUACUGGUCCUCAGACUCAACCGAGAAAUGUGUACAAGAUGCAGAUACCUGCCCCUCCUGCCUCAGAGACUCCCAGAAAAUCUGAUCAAGAUUUGAAAACAACUUCCCAGGGGCAUGACUUUCAAAAGCAGCCCUACCGACAGGAAAUAUCACAUGAUCUUUCAAAAACAAAUACUAUUUUUUUUUUGAAGAAAAGGAAGUUUCCUAAUGAACGUUGAGAAAGUACAAAUAGAAUAAGUUUUCUUUGCACACACACAUACAAAAAUGAUACUAACACAUAUACAUGUCAAAUGCAAAAUUAUCUACUUCAUUGAGCUGGUAGGUUUAAUUCACUUACAAUUAAUCCUAGAUUUAUGUUCAGCUCUGACCGGCUUGCAUUUGACCUUCUUACCUGUCCUCAUGCUCUCUGUUGUUUCUAUAGUUUUACUCAUUAACUGUUGGAUUUGAUAGCCCUGAGGCAGACUCCCAAGUCAGGCUUGGCCACUGACUUCCUGGGCACGCAGUCCCGCCUUCUGCCCACUGGCUGAGUGCUCGUCUUGAAAUGUAGGAACGUUCUUUCAACCCACUGCUUUCAUCAGGGUUUAAGACACAGAAGAAACGUUUUAAAUUGUCUCAUACUCUCUACACUUAUUUAAAAAGCCAAAGUAUAAAGUAAACAAAUAAAUGUAUAGUUUAUUUCAUCUCCCAAACGACUCAAAAUAUCCUCUAGACUUCAGACACACAGUUAGAAAACCAUCCUUUGAAGUUGAAAAAUGAGAACGAGGUUGGAAUACACAUAACUAACCCACUGCGAGUUUGUAAAUGUAUUUUCAGUGAGUUUAGAUUAAUUUGCAAAUCUCCUUAAGAAACAAAGAUGUCUCCCACGUCUUUCCAAAUUAAAAUGUGAUGUGGAGAAGAGUUGUCUAAUUAAUUGUAACAUGUUUGAGGUGAUGUUGUCAAACAGAACUUUGGGUACUGUCUUGGGUCCCGAUUAAAAGGAACACCAAGAAACAUUUUCAGCACAUGCACCUGCGAUUUCCAUCUAUUUUGUCAGUAUAUUCUUAGAACAGAGAAGGGGUGUGUUCAAACAGAGCAUAUGUUCCAGAACAAGACAGCAUUUCUAAUAGGAAUACUCUCAAAGUUUCAGUUCUAUACUUGGGUUCUUAACCUGGCCUCAUGGGUUUUAAUUCACUUAUAGUUUGUCUCAGAUUUCCUGUUUCUUACUAGCUUUUGGGGACACUUUUGUGAUUAGUCUGAUGAACUGUUGCUUUAAACUUCCAUUCUAAGAUUGGCUAUUGAAACCAUUUUCACUUUUAAAACCUUAAUCUCCUUUUGCCCUGGUUCCACGCUUGCCACUAGGGAGCUGCUGGCCUACCCCAAAGGGGGCUCUCCUGGCAGUCUCUCAGGAAGAAGGCACGGUGGGCAACUUCUACCUUCAGUUCCAGAAAUGCAAACCCUCUUGAGAGCUAAAUGUGUUCUUGCAUCCUCAAAGCAGUGGGUACCAGGAGAAGAGCCAUAUUCAGAGGCAAGUGUUGGGCACAUCCAGCCUGGGCAGCCAGUUCCUGAGCCUCUCUUCAGUCACCAGGCAGUAAACGGUUUACAGACACCGAAUGACUGGUAUGUCUAAUUAGAAGACAAGAAGGGCGGAACCAAUCAGAAAAGGCAUCUUUCUAAGAAGCGGAGAGGACACAGAGAGGCACGCAGAGAAGGUGAUGAGAAGACGGAGGCGGAGAUUGGAGUGAUGAUACAUCUACGAGCCAGGGAACAUCAAGGACUGCCAGCAACCACCAGAAGCCAGGAGAGAGGCAUGAGGCAGUUCUUCCUCCGAUCCUUCAGAGGAAAUCAACUCUACUGACACCAUGAUUUUGGAUUCUAGCCUCCUAAGAAAAGGCAGAACAAGGCAGGAGAUUCAAAGUCUUCAUUGCUGACCGGAGGUGGAGCGUACAUCAGAGGGCAACAAGCCAAGUGUCUAUCUUACCGUCAAAUUCCCCUGUACCUCUGCAGGACUGUCUGAGGCUUGGCGGGAUGAUGCCAAACAGACAUCAUUUAACCAGCAAGAUUGCCCUCCCUAUACUCAAAGCCUGCUGGGGGAGGAUGAGACUGGAUGGCAGUAUGGCCAAUUACUCCAGUUUCCGCAAGCACGUCACAGGGUAAGCAUCCUCUGCCGAGUCAGUUCUGGGAUUGAAUUGUCAAAUGCCCAUCAAUGAUAGACUGGAUAAAGAAAAUGUGGCACAUAUACACCAUGGGAUGCUA